GAUGGGUGUGGUGGUGCACACCUGUAAUCCCCGUGACUCAGGAGGCUGAGGCAGGAGGAUUGUGAGUUCAAAGCAAGCCUCAGCAAUUUAGCAAGGCCCUAAGCAAGUUAGUGAGACCCUGCCUCUA
rnacentral:sRNA from 1 species